rnacentral:rRNA from 1 species
CAGUCGCCGCGGUAAUACGAAGGGGGCUAGCGUUGCUCGGAAUGACUGGGCGUAAAGGGCGCGUAGGCGGUUUGUUAAGUCUGUUGUGAAAGCCCCGGGCUCAACCUGGGAAUGGCAAUGGAUACUGGCGAGCUAGAGUGUGUCAGAGGAUGGUGGAAUUCCCGGUGUAGCGGUGAAAUGCGUAGAGAUCGGGAGGAACAUCAGUGGCGAAGGCGGCCAUCUGGGACAACACUGACGCUGAGGCACGAAAGCGUGGGGAGCGAACAGGAUUAGAUACCCCAGUAGUCCCUGUCUCUUAUAC